rnacentral:rRNA from 1 species
UAUACUUCACUUUCUUUAGUACGAAAGGACCAAGAAAGUGGGACCAAUCUUAGAAAGAAGUCCCUACAUAUAACUGAAUAAAAAUAAAGUCCCUGAUAUAACCACAACCCAAGACAUAGGGUUA